rnacentral:rRNA from 1 species
GUGGGGAAUCUUAGACAAUGGGGGAAACCCUGAUCUAGCCAUGCCGCGUGAGCGAUGAAGGCCUUAGGGUUGUAAAGCUCUUUCAGCUGGGAAGAUAAUGACUGUACCAGCAGAAGAAGCCCCGGCUAACUCCGUGCCAGCAGCCGCGGUAAUACGGAGGGGGCUAGCGUUGUUCGGAAUUACUGGGCGUAAAGCGCACGUAGGCGGACCGGAAAGUCAGAGGUGUAAUCCCAGGGCUCAACCUUGGAACUGCCUUUGAAACUCCUGGUCUUGAGGUCGAGAGGGGUGAGUGGAAUUCCGAGUGUAGAGGUGAAAUUCGUAGAUAUUCGGAGGAACACCAGUGGCGAAGGCGGCUCACUGGCUCGAUACUGACGCUGAGGUGCGAAAGCGUGGGGAGCAAACAGGAUUAGAAACCCCAGUAGUCC